rnacentral:rRNA from 1 species
UACAGAGGUCUCAACCGUUGUUCGGAUUCAUUGGACGUAAAGGGUGCGUAGGCGGUCGCGUAAGUCAGGUGUGAAAUCUCAGGGCUCAACCCUGAAACUGCACUUGAUACUGCGUGGCUCGGGUACUGGAGAGGAGACUGGAAUUUACGGUGUAGCAGUGAAAUGCGUAGAUAUCGUAAGGAAGACCAGUGGCGAAGGCGAGUCUCUGGACAGUUACCGACGCUGAGGCACGAAGGUCAGGGGAGCAAACGGG